rnacentral:rRNA from 1 species
UACGUAGGGUGCAAGCGUUAUCCGGAAUUAUUGGGCGUAAAGAGCUCGUAGGCGGUUUGUCGCGUCUGCCGUGAAAGUCCGGGGCUCAACUCCGGAUCUGCGGUGGGUACGGGCAGACUAGAGUGCAGUAGGGGAGACUGGAAUUCCUGGUGUAGCGGUGAAAUGCGCAGAUAUCAGGAGGAACACCGAUGGCGAAGGCAGGUCUCUGGGCUGUAACUGACGCUGAGGAGCGAAAGCGUGGGGAGCGAACAGG